UAGUAGUAUGUAUUAGUUCUAGGGCAUCGAAACCCGGACCCAAAUUUCAAAACCCGGGUUUUCGGGUUUUUUAAAAUGAAAACCCGGGUACCCGGGUUUUUCGGGUUUUUUCGGGUUUUC